rnacentral:rRNA from 1 species
CCUACGGGAGGCAGCAGUCGAGAAUCAUUCACAAUGGGGGCAACCCUGAUGGUGCGACGCCGCGUGGGGGAAUGAAGGUCUUCGGAUUGUAAACCCCUGUCAUGUGGGAGCAAAUUAAAAAGAUAGUACCACAAGAGGAAGAGACGGCUAACUCUGUGCCAGCAGCCGCGGUAAUCCAGAGGUCUCAAGCGUUGUUCGGAAUCACUGGUCGUAAAGCGUGCGUAGGCUGUUUCGUAAGUCGUGUGUGAAAGGCGCGGGCUCAACCCGCGGACGGCACAUGAUACUGCGAGACUAGAGUAAUGGAGGGGGAACCGGAAUUCACGGUGUAGCAGUGAAAUGCGUAGAUAUCGAGAGGAACACUCGUGGCGAAGGCGGGUUCCUGGACAUUAACUGACGCUGAGGCACGAAGGCCAGGGGAGCGAAAGGGAUUAGAUACCCGAGUAGUC